AGUUUACUACUCUAGUUAACAGUUUUUACUUUGUUUUAACAUAAGAGCGUUGCUUCGUUUGCACAGAAACAGACUCGUGUCAUGUUAAGCGAAACGAAGAGAAACGAAACAAAGUCAAAGAGAGCACGCACUGCUCAUUCUUGCGUCGGGUGCUACUCUGCGUUCGCACUGUGGCUACUGUGGCCCCAAACUUUUUUCAACUUUUGAAUCGAGCGGUCGCUGUGUUGCCUAGUCCGGUCCGUCGUCGAACAAAAGCCCCAAGUACAAUCUUUGGAUAACGUAUAUUUCUUAGCAUCUCGAUUUCGGUUCGGCGGCAAUGCGGUUUCUCUGAUAAAAUACUAUAUAUAAUUUCCCCUCAUGAUCUUGAUCUAUAUACCAUGUACCCGAUUUUUGUGCAAAUAAAACAUAAAUACAAAUAAAAAAAACCAUAAAUAAAAGAUAGCCUUGCAAAAAUCAUUGAAAAAAUAUAUUUAAAACAACCAAUAAAAAAAUCGAGAAAUAAUAUAUUUAUACACACAACGGUUUCACUUUUACGAGUUGUAUACAAAAAAAAUAUAAAUAAUAAUUACAUUUGUUAAAAGGCCACCAGUUGCCUGAAAGAAAAAAGUGUUGGAAAACGCCUAAUAAAUAAUCUACAACAAAAAAUAGUGCAAAUAAAUGUGCAAAAAUCAAUUCAAUCUUGUAAAAAAAAUGUCGUAUAAAACUAAUUAAACCUAAGAGGAUUAACGCAUUUAUUCAUAGAUUUAUAAAUCUAUGGGAUUAUUACACGAUUUUUGGAUCUAACUACUAACACUAAAAAGUGUUUCAUUUACGUUUGUCUCGAACGCGUUUUUCCAUGUCAUGUGUGCAUCAUUCUCCCCCCCACAGUCCUAAAUCCUCGUCCAGUCAGACAUAACAAAAAUCAACGACGAAAAUUACAGCAGAAGCAGCAGCAGCAGGGACAGCAGCAGCAACAAACAGCAAAUCAUCUAACGGGAGCCUCAUCUAACGCUGCAGCUAACAGAUGAGCCCCAACAACAGAUGUCAAUUGCUGCAGCCGAAAAUGCAGGGUAAGCAAAUUUAAUAGUUUUCGAGAGCUAAUGCCGUUAGUGAGUAUU